UACGUAGGGUGCAAGCGUUGUCCGGAAUUAUUGGGCGUAAAGAGCUCGUAGGCGGUUUGUUGCGUCGGCUGUGAAAAUCCCGAGGCUCAACCUCGGGUCUGCAGUCGAUACGAGCAAAACUAGAGUGUUGCAGGGGGAGACUGGAAUUCCUGGUGUAGCGGUGAAAUGCGCAGAUAUCAGGAGGAACACCGGUGGCGAAGGCGGGUCUCUGGGCAACAACUGACGCUGAGGAGCGAAAAGCGUGGGGAGCGAACAGG
rnacentral:rRNA from 1 species